GAGGAUAUAUAAUGGUAUAUGUGUAUAAAUAUAAAUAUAAAUAUAUAUAUAUAUAUUAAAGAACAAAUAAGUAACGUUUAAAGGCUGUUAGUAUCGAUUUGAUUGAUUUGAUAAUAUUAGAUCCAAUCCUAUUUGAAUAAUUUUUUAACUUUUUAUCAUUUGAAAAAAAUCUUUAUAAUUAUAAAUUGAAUUAUAGUAAAUAUAUAUGAUUCUUAUAAAAACUAAUUUACUGCAUAUAACAAAUAAAUUGAAAAGUACAGUAUAUAAGAUAUAUAGAAUAACUCAAAGAACAUAAACCAUUUACAAAAUACUCGAUAUUUAAAAAAAAAAAGAAAAAAUAACUAAUAUGUAUAUAAAAACCGAUCAAACAAUCAAAUUUAUUCCUUAUUGCUAAAUAUCUUAUAGGACCUACUUGUUAAUAACACAAUAAACAUUUAAAUCAACAAGACAUUUAUUUAUACCCAACUAAUUGUAAAAGUAAAAGUAAAAGAAGUGGUGGGGAGGGGUGGGGAGGGUAACAAAACUCAGUAAUAUAACCGACAAAUGUAAUUAGCAGUAUUGCAGUCGGAAGUAUAAGUGUGUGUUGUGUCGAGUGACGAUGAUCGUUGUUCCUUGUUCCGUUUGUCGUGAGAUGGCGAAAAGAGAGAAAGAGAAGGAAAUGGAGAAAGGGGGUAGCGGUUGGGAUAGGGGUAGGGAUAAGGGGAAGGAGGAAGAAGGAAGGAGACAGAAUCCGAACGUGAAGAGCCGGUCGAAGGCCCGCGCACUGGGCCUCAUGCGAGUCACAGGUGCGCUCGAGGCUACCUUCGUUUUAUCCCUACUCUUUUCUACUGUAUACAUGUUCUCUCUCCCUUCCUAAUGGCUCCUGGACGUCUCUCUUCUGUAGAUCGUAACCGCUGACACACACCUGUCGCACUUCAGAGCCGACACACGUUAAAUUUUACACGUGGUUAUACAAACUUGGAAGGAUAGAGAAAAUAACAGAUGAAGAAAACAAGGGACACGAUGAAUUUUUAUCCUUAACGGUAUAUCUAAGAAUAUUUUUGUUCUUUUCUUUUCGAAUAAUAAGAAAAUGAUACGAUAUUUUUAAUUACCAGUGAAUAUAUAUAGUAUAUUUUACGAGUAUAUUUGUUAAGUGUAAAAUUGUGAAGAAGAAGAAGGGGAAGAAGAAGGAGAAGAAGAAGAAGAAACGGAAGAAGAGGAAGAAACGGAAGAAGAGGAAGAAACGGAAGAAGAGAAAGAAGAAGAAGGUGCGCGCGCUUACAAGCGCGAGAAUAUCGAAAGACCUCGACUCCGGUACGGAAAACGAUACAAAAAAGCAAGUUCACUGCGAUACCGUGCCGAAGGUGACUGAGGGAAGUGUUCUUGAAACGAAACUAACCUCUUUCCCUGUCUAUAUAUACACAUAAACACACAUACACACACAGACAUACACACACAUAUCAAAUAAUAUACACGCAUGCACAUAUAUAUUUAUCUCUGCUUUUCUUUAUUUUCGGUCCACAGCAAUGAAAGGAUAUUUUAUGUUCGAUAAAAAUUUAAUCGAGAAAUUAUUCUCCCCGUAUAUAAUCAAUCUAUCGUUUUGACCGAAAAUUUACAACACAACCGGGCCAAUAAUAAAAUCGACAAAAAUCAUGCCUUUGCCUUUACCGCGUAAUAACGCGAAUUCGUCGACGAGAAAACGUUCGCGACGUAGAAGUUUUUUAAGGCGUUUAAGCUUCGCGGUAGAUCGCGAGGAAGGAUAAUAAUAAUAAUAAUAAAAAGAAACAAAAAAAAUCAA